rnacentral:rRNA from 1 species
UACGUAGGGACCAAGCGUUGUCCGGAAUCAUUGGGCGUAAAGAGCGUGUAGGCGGCUUGUUAAGUCUUGCGUGAAAUCUCGGGGCUCAACCCCGAGCGGUCGUGUGAAACUGGCAGGCUAGAGUGCGGGAGAGGAGAGUGGAAUUCCUGGUGUAGCGGUGAAAUGCGCAGAUAUCAGGAAGAACACCCGUGGCGAAGGCGGCUCUCUGGAACGCAACUGACGCUGAGACGCGAAAGCGUGGGGAGCAAACAGG